CACUUAUGUAAAUGCCUAAAUUUUGUUGUCAUACCCCGUGAGCUGAACUCAAACCCUGUUGCUACAGUUUUGUUUCAGCCAGGCAGAAACCAAUUCUCAUUGUCAUUUGAGGAUCUCACCUUUCUUUGCCUGCAGCUACUGGUCUUAAAGAUCCUCUGAGUCCCCUGCCACAUUUGUCAGGCCUGUGUGAAUGACUUGGAUGACUAAAACAUUUCACACAGCAGUAGAACUGCAUGUUCCAUCAACUAAAUUUAUUCUUCACCAUUUUGAAGAGACUAACCCAAGGCUACUUUUUCCAGAAGUUAUGCCCUAAGAAUAUCUGAAAAUGUAAAAAAAAAAGACUACCAGUAUUAAAAAGUUUUAAAUGUAACUCUAAGUCAUUAUUUGCAAAUAAGAAUACAAAUGCCAGCUGUGAGAGAUCUCUACAGUUAAUGAAAAGAGAGAAUGAAUAUUUGCUUCCGCUUAACUCCAGAGCUGAUCUGGUCCACAACACAGGUAAGUGAACUACAGAAAAUGCAUGGUUUUAAGAUUUUCAUUCUCUUCUAUUCAUCUAUAAAAAGAAUGCCACAAUAAAUCUGUAAUACUGAAGUAAUUCUCAGUUAAUCUUGAGUUUCUCUAAAUUCUGAACUACUUUGCCAAAAGAUAAUUACAUUUACAUGCUGAAAGUCAAAGGUUAUUGAAUUGUUUUCCAGCUUUUAGUUUAAUUUAUCCUUUGACACUGACCUUUCCCCUCUUAGUCAGCUAGAAAUCAGACACUGAAAUCCAGGCUGACUGCACCAGCCUCUCUCAAUGGCAAAAAACACCCAAUAAGAACCAGUCAUUUUAUCAGACUAGAAGUUAGAACACUUGAGCUCCCAAGGUAGCAGAGGUGAAUUGCAUUGUAAGUGAAAAUUAGGAAAUAGCAGCUCUUGAGUCAUUUGCAAAUUUUGAAGACAAGAAGAAACAACUUCGGAAAGAACUGCAUGCUGCCUGAUGUGGAACCAUGAAGCUGAGUGUAACUCCUCAAACAUAAUGCAAAAACAGGCGGAGCUGCUGCACAGCUGCUUCAGCAGCGGCGAUGGCUGCCCCAGCGUCUUCAAGGUGAGUUUGAGUGACGCUGGUUUUGCUUUGGCUGCGAGAAGGACCGUGAGAGCGGAGAUGGCCUUCAGAAG